rnacentral:rRNA from 1 species
UACGGGGGGGGCAAGCGUUGUUCGGAAUUACUGGGCGUAAAGGGUUUGUAGGUGGCUGGCUAAGUCACACGUGAAAUCCCUCAGCUUAACUGGGGAACUGCGUGUGAGACUGGCGAGCUUGAGGGCAGGAGAGGAACGCGGAAUUCCAGGUGUAGCGGUGAAAUGCGUAGAUAUCUGGAGGAACACCGGUGGCGAAGGCGGCGUUCUGGACUGCAUCUGACACUGAGAAACGAAAGCCAGGGGAGCAAACGGG